rnacentral:sRNA from 1 species
UGUGACUCGCUCCUGCGUUCCCACGCCAA